AGAAUUUUUAGAGACUUAAAAGUAUUUUUAAACAAUUAAAAAUACUCACAAAAUCAAUUAAAUCAUGAAAAAUAUUAAUAAUGAUCCAACAAAUAAUUUUAAUUCAAAACAUGAAAGAGGAUUUUAUUUAAAAAAAAUUGGUGAAACUCUCAUAUUUUUUAGAUCAAUAUUAAAAUUAAUAUGAAUUAAUGAAAAGCAAAGGAAUAAAAUGAAAAUCAGAAAAUACAAAAAAAACGUGGACCACU
rnacentral:lncRNA from 1 species